rnacentral:tRNA from 1 species
GGACCCGUAGCUCAGCGGUAGAGCGUUCGGUUCACAUCCGAAAGGUCAGAGGUUCGAGACCUCUCGGGUCCACCA